rnacentral:lncRNA from 1 species
AACAACCCAUAACCUUAGUCAUUUGUCUAAACAAUGCUGCCCCUUUUUUCUUGUUCUUCUCCGUUCUCUCUGAAACUAUUCCUAACCCUAGCGCCGUAACCACAAAAUUUCCCAAACCCCUUCGGUUCUUAGCCGUUCCAUGGGCUCCUUUGUUAUUUUAGGCCCCUGCCGGCCUCUUACCUCUUCUAGUUGUUCGAUUUUGUUAUUUAUGAAAGAAUCUCGAAGAGAUCAAACUCAGAUUCGUUCGAAACCAUUUAUGAAUCUACCUACGGUCAUCUCCAUUUGUGAGUACUAUUAUCUUAUGUUUAUGGCUUGAAUCUCUGGUUCCAAACCACAAUUUCUUUCGUAUAUGUUAUUCUCUUAAAACCCUAGUCUUUGCUGCUCGAAUACGUUCAGAUCCUUGUAUAUUUGAGAUAGUUUUAAGUUUAUUUUGUUAUUUCUCUUAAAAAACUUUAUGUGUUUAUUAUUAUUAACCAAUUCUUUUUGUCUUCUCUAAAACUAGGGUUUCACUCCUUUAAGUUUCUGAAAAAUACUAAUUUUUUAAUGUUUAACCCUAAUCUCUUUGUUUUUUCGAUUGAUUCUCAUGACUAUGCUCUUUACCCUAUUUUUUUUGGUCCACUAGGCAAUCGCCUAGGUUUUUUUUUUAUUUAUUAAUAGGAAAAGGAAAAUUACAAAAAAUAGGAGAAAUAAAAUAAGGCGGAUUACGCCGGUAAUGUUACCCAUAUAACACAGCCGGCAUAGACCUUACCUUAGCUAUCCUAUUGAGGCAAAAGGCCACCUGGACUAGCAAGCAUGUAAAUAGAAGGAACUCGCAAGAACUAAGAAUUGACUGAUCAUCACAGAGUUUAUAACAUACUCUGUGANNNNNNNNNNNNNNNNNNNNNNNNNNNNNNNNNNNNNNNNNNNNNNNNNNNNNNNNNNNNNNNNNNNNNNNNNNNNNNNNNNNNNNNNNNNNNNNNNNNNNNNNNNNNNNNNNNNNNNNNNNNNNNNNNNNNNNNNNNNNNNNNNNNNNNUUUCUCUUUUGUUGUGAAAGUUUCGAUUUGUAAAAUGUUGUCUUCUUCCACAUGAUUUUUCAAAAAUUCUUCAAAAUUCAUACUUUAUUCUUGGAUUUCGGAAGUAAUGUUUGAGCAACCUAUUUUUGUUUUCGCAUUGGGGGCCUCCUUAUGUUGACGUCUUCGAUCACCCUGCUGUCCCAACUUUUUUCUCUUUGACGAGACUCUGCCGUAGCAUUAUUUCUUGGAACAGAAGUUGAGGCAUUAUAAUUUAAACUACUGAUUACUUCAUCCCAGCUCUCUCAUCUUUUUUGUUUCUUGAAAUUGAGGUUUCCCCGUACUCCUUGACAAUGUUUUUCAUAGGAGGAGAUUUGUCCUUGGCAAGUACUUUAAAAGAAUUUGAAAUUGACAGUAAAGCUGUAUUGUUUCCUGGAUUGUUUGCUGCAAUGUGACUUUUAUUUUUUGAUUUUGAUGAUUCUGCUUUGUUGGCCAUCGAUGAGCAUUGUAUAUCUUCCCUUUUGUGUUGUCGAUGAUCAGUAAACUGUAUAGCAGAGUUUGCUUGUGUUGAGGCAGUAUUAAUUACAGCCUCUGCAAUUGUAUCUACUGCAGCAAAGUUUGAAUUGUCUUGCAGUUUUGCCAUGUGGAUUGCUCCCUUGUUUGAACUGGAAACAUAUCUUCCCCACUGUAUAUGCUGGAUAUAGAGAUGGGAGGAUAACUUUGCACCUUCUGAAUCACUCCUCCAACAACUUUUCCAUCAUGUUUAUCCAGAUUUUCAAGCGCGGCAACUGAAUUGGACCUUACCGAUAUUGCUGUAGACUUGUUUGAAAUUUGUUUAUUUUUGUUCUGGGUAUCUUCAUUUCUGUUGGUCCUCGAAAAUUCACUUUUCCUUGCAUUUUGUUGUCCAGUAUCCUUUGUAAGUUGCAGAUCAUCUGGAGGAUGGGAAACCAAAUCAUUGUUAGAGAUAGUCGCAACUGUUUUACAUUGUUGAAACAUCUCUGUCUUGUGGUUUGUAUCUUGUUUAGAUGAGCUUCCUACACUGUCUUUAACUGAAGGAGUUGUUGAUUGGAUAUUAUCAACUCUCCCAUUUGUACUUCGACUUGCAAGACUUUGCAAAGGAAUUGGAGAUUCCAUCUUUAACUGUGAACUAUCGGCAUAGACUGCUUCCUCUUCUGCUGCUAUCUGCUGAAUAUAAAAAAUGGAAAGGAUUAUUUACAACUUGUGAACUAUCUGCAUAGAUUGCUUCCUCUUCUGCUGCUAUCUGCUGAAUGUUAUUCUUGUUUUGCUGUAAACUUGAGUUCUGCUCAGUGUCCUCACUGAUGUUGCUUAUUAAGUUUGAUGCUUGUAUAAAAUUUGCAGGACACUUAACUGUCACUGAUUUUAAUUGACUCAUUGGCUUAAUCUGACAUGUACUCUCCUUCGCUGUCAUCAUCAUAAUCUUGGUCGUCAUUUGCGUAUGAAGAGCCUGCAGCUGCUACCUCUGUUGAAGAAUUGUCACUGAUUGUAAUACCAUAUCAGUUUGCAGCAAGACAGUUUGGUAAUCUGUGGUCUGCACAGUUCCUACUUCUGAAGGACUUUCUGAAAAUUGAACAAAUGGACUCACAGAUUCCAUAUUAUCAAACUGUCGAUUGUAAUAGAGAACUAUAGGGAGGUUCUGAUGCAAAACACCUUGCAGCUUGCGAUUCAGUGUAUACUGUGUUGAGUGUUGUACUAUUGCAUUUUGUUGCAGUAUGUUUUUCAGUUUGCUCGGAAUUAACCAAUGCAGAUGGUUUAUUCAGAUUUGCGUGACCAGACAGUGUUACAAUUUUGUUGUUUGAAUGUUGCAUUAUCUGCUGUUGCUCGUGCAUUUUCUCUUCACUGCUUUUAUCAUUUGAAUUUUCUGGAGCAGUCGCUUGUAUUUUAUACGAAAGAUCAGUAACACCCUUUGGCUCCUGACAGGCUCCAGCAGGUGUACCAAUCGACUGAGACACAAUUGUAUGAGUUCCUUUCUGAUGUAUAAUGCAUUUGCGAUGUUGUCCAGCCAUUGUAGCCACUUGCCCAUUGUGUGUACUAGGAUCUUCAUUAAUCUGCAUUUCCUUUGCAGUAUCCACAUAUGAGCGAGCAUACAUUGUAGCUUCAGAUCGAGCAUACAUUGUAGCCUCAGCUACAUCAGUAGAAGUAUUAGAGAGUUUGUUAUCCAUCUUCCAUGUCGCUUCCAAAUUCUCAGCUUCAGAUCGAGCAUACAUUGUAGCAUCAGCUACAUCAGUAGAAGUAUUAGAGAGUUUGUUAUCCAUCUUCCAUGUCGCUUCCAAAUUCUCAGCUGGUCCUAUUUCAUGUGAUGCAUCUGGAAAAACAUCAAUUCCAGUUAUCCUAGCCUUUUUACAUUGAUCUGUUUCACACCCAUCCUUUGCAGUAUGUGCUGAAUGAUCCACUGGAUCAGCUGGCAUUCUAGCAGUCAAUGAAACAGUUUCUUCCAAUAUUGUAUCCUUUCCUUGGCUAGGUAGUGAACUGUUAUGAAAGUUAACAUUUUGCAUCAUCUGCUGCUGUUCAUUAGGUAUGCCCUGCAUACAGUUAUGGAUCGCAACUUCAACUGGAUUUUUACAUUGGCACUUGAAGGUACUGUUUCUGCAGCAUGCUGUGCCAGUUUUGACAACAUCAGUUCUGAAUUGUUUUCACUGAUUGCCUUCGAAUGAAGCUGUGAUGGUGCAGAAUUUUGCAAUUGCAUCCCGAUAGCAUUUGACAAAGAGCCAAAUUUAGCAUUAUGAAUCAGUGAACUUGAAUCAAUUGUUUGAUCUGCAUGUUGAAUCACAGUAGGCACUGUCCUGUCUGGUUGACAACUUGCUUUGUUUGCAUUCA